GACGAACGCUGGCGGCGUGCCUAAUACAUGCAAGUCGAGCGAAUGGAGGAGAGCUUGCUCUCCGAAGUUAGCGGCGGACGGGUGAGUAACACGUGGGCAACCUGCCUAUAAGACUGGGAUAACUUCGGGAAACCGGAGCUAAUACCGGAUAGAUUCUUUCCUCUCAUGAGGAAAGAAGGAAAGAUGGUUUCGGCUAUCACUUAUAGAUGGGCCCGCGGCGCAUUAGCUAGUUGGUAAGGUAACGGCUUACCAAGGCGACGAUCGGUAGCUGGUCUGAGAGGAUGAUCAGCCACACUGGGACUGAGACACGGCCCAGACUCCUACGGGAGGCUG
rnacentral:rRNA from 1 species